rnacentral:lncRNA from 1 species
UGAGCACUCCACAGUGCUUUGCUGCGUCACCAUCUCAGCCGUUGAACCUUCUUAUUGGUUUCUUCCGCCUGUUCUGCCGAAGCAGUCUUCACAUGCUGGGGAACCAGGCCCCCAUGCCAAUUGUUGCAAUCUUCUCAGCAUGGUCUCUUUCUCCAACCACCUCCACCCCACCAGAAAACAUGGACUCUACCCUUGCUGUCAGCUCUUAUUGAUGAGGAUCUUGAAGUCCAAUGAAAUUGUCACUCACUCAAGAUGACCCAAGCCGACAUCAAAGCCAGAAAUUGAGCAAGGCCUUCUGACUCAUAGUCCAGGACUAAUUCUCUUCUGCAUCAUGAUUCCUCCAGUAAUGUAAUGGUCUAUGUCAGAGAGGUCAAAAUACACUGCAACAUUCACAAGCAUAGCUCAAACCAGAUUAAAAUGUAAUUGGGAAAUAUUUAACAAAAUAAAUUGA